rnacentral:rRNA from 1 species
CCUACGGGUGGCAGCAGUGGGGAAUAUUGGACAAUGGGCGAAAGCCUGAUCCAGCCACGCCGCGUGUGUGAUGAAGGCCUUCGGGUCGUAAAGCACUGUGGGGAGGGAAGAACGAGCAGUGGGCUAAUAUCCCAUUGCAGUGACGGUACCUCCUUAGCAAGCACCGGCUAACUCCGUGCCAGCAGCCGCGGUAAUACGGAGGGUGCAAACGUUGCUCGGACGCGUGGGGCGUAAAGCCUAUGUAGGCGGUGAAAGCCCUGGGCUUAACCUAGGAAGUGCGCUCGAAACUGGCAGGCUUGAGUACGGGAGAGGGUCGCGGAAUUCCCGGUGUAGAGGUGAAAUUCGUAGAUAUCGGGAGGAACACCAGUGGCGAAGGCGGCGACCUGGACCGAUACUGACGCUGUGACGCGAAAGCGUGGGGAGCAAACAGGAUUAGAUACCCCAGUAGUC